AGAAUUACCCAAGGAAAAUAAAAAUGGCAAAAUCUACAUAAUCACUGGAAGAUAAUAUAUGUCCACUGUGGAAAAAAUUAUCAAAUUCCAACAGACACAGAGAAGAAACAUCUAUAUUCCCAUCAUUCAAGAUAAAUAUAAAAAGUAUGUAAAUUUCUCAAUUAAAAAAAUCUUUAAACAAUAGUGGACUAAUGACAACAGUAUUCUAUAACCUGUUCUUUUCUGUAAAAAAAAUGAAGAAUGAACACAUUUACAUGUCAAUCAAUGUACAUUCACCUAAUAUUUGAAUGGAUAAACAGGGUAUCAGUAAAUCAUAAUUUAUUCAACCAAUUCUCUAUUGUUGGAAAUUUAAGUUUGUUAUAAUUGCUUGCUAUUAUAAGCAACAAUGCAAAGAACAUCUAUAUGCACUAAUAAUCUGAAAUAUAUUUCUUCAAAACAGAAAUGAUAAAGUUAAAAGUAUACAGAUUUUUAGGUUUUGCCACACAUUGCCAAACUGCCCUUGUGCUAGAUAUUCAAUGUCGUUCCUCAAUAAAAUUACCCAGCCUUUUAUGUUCUGUUCCGUAACCUGGGAAGCUAACCUCUAUGAACUAACCAAGAUUCCUUGUUCUCUGGCUUCUAGAUGGGUUCAGCCAUGGAAAGCACUGGCAGAAGAUCAAAGGUGAGGGAGACAGGUUGGAAUAUUAUUCCUCCCAAAUACUUCUCUGUUAGGCCACAGCUUGGAAUUGGCUGCACUCUUCCACCAAAAGUUACAUCUUUUGUCAGACAGCCCUACUCCUGUAGUUCUUACUAGGUUGGUAACUGCCCAGGCACCUUGUUCCUUCAACCUUAGGGUGGUAACAACUUUGUAACCGCCCAACGGGUUCACCUUGCCCGCUGCCUAGACAAAGCUGAUUUAUCAAGACGGGAAUUGCAAUGGAUAGAGACGCAGAGCCAGCUGUGCGGGACACCG
rnacentral:lncRNA from 1 species